UUAGAGUUUGAUCCUGGCUCAGGAUGAACCGCUAGCGGGAGGCUUAACACAUGCAAGUCGAGGGGCAGCACAAGUAUUUAUAUUUGGUGGCGACCGGCGGAUGGGUGAGUAACACGUAUGCAACCUACCAUUUACAGGAGGAUAGCCCGGAGAAAUUCGGAUUAAUACUCCAUGUAUCAAUUAAUUCGCAUGAAUUUUUUGAUAAAGUUUUCAACGGUAUUUGAUGGGCAUGCGUCCCAUUAGCUAGUUGGUAAGGUAACGGCUUACCAAGGCGAUGAUGGGUACGGGGUCUUAAAGGAUGAUCCCGCACACUGGCACUGAGACACGGGCCAGACUCCUACGGGAGGCAGCAGUGAGGAAUAUUGGUCAAUGGGGGGAACCCUGAACCAGCCAUCCCGCGUGCAGGAAGACAGUUCUAGUAAUUGUAAACUGCUUUUAUUAAAGAAGAAUAAGUUUGACUUGUCAAAUGAUGACAGUAUUUAAUGAAUAAGCAUCGGCUAACUCCGUGCCAGCAGCCGCGGUAAUACGGAGGAUGCAAGCGUUAUCCGGAUUUAUUAGGUUUAAAGGGUGUGUAGGCGGGAUAAUAAGUCAGUGGUGAAAGUUUUCAGCUUAACUGGAAAAUUGCCAUUGAAACUGUUUUUCUUGAGUUUGGAUGAGGUAUGCGGAAUGUGUAAUGUAGCGGUGAAAUGCUUAGAUAUUACUCAGAACCCCUAUUGCGAAGGCAGCAUGCUAAUCCAUAACUGACGCUGAUGCACGAAAGCGUGGGGAUCAAACAGGAUUAGAUACCCUGGUAGUCCACGCCGUAAA
rnacentral:rRNA from 1 species